CAUUAGCCUUUGCAUGAAUGGAGGUGCGGACUGUUGUGGGGGUGCGAGGGUAGAGAUGUUAGGACGACAUUAUAAGUCGCCGAUGCGUGGUGCUGUACUCCCCCCCCCCCCUCCACACACACAGAUCAGUACCUACAGUUCGACUCUCCUCACCCAUUAGAACAUAAGAUGGGUUUAUCAGAACACUGCAUCACCAUGCCAAGAAUGUCCCCACCAACAUUACAGACAAAGACAAGGAGAACAAGUAUUUGAGAGAAGCCUCGAAAGCUUGCGGCUACCCUGACUGGGCCUUCAUUAAGACAGCAUCAGAAACCAGAAGGGACAUCACCUCAUCAGAGAGAGGAGAUGAUGGCACAUACUUGGCCACAGUAAGAGAUGAAAAGCAGUGGAUGUGCAUCCACCAACCCCGAAAGGCAUGAUCAAAACUGUUGUGACUCGCUGUAGAAACGACUGGGGAGCUUGGAUCCGCGGAACUGAUCUCAUCGCACCCUCUUCUGCAGCUGAGCAAAGUCUGGUUUUCAGAGGUCCCAGGAGACACUUGUAAACAGCCUUGUGACUGGACAGCUUGACAAUGAAAGCACAGCAGCACAGCCACUGGGAAGCUUCAAAAGGAAAAGGCCCACAAGCACCUUUGGAGCCUAAAGAAACC